rnacentral:rRNA from 1 species
UACGGGGGGUGCAAGCGUUACUCGGAAUCACUGGGCGUAAAGAGCAUGUAGGCGGAUUAAUAAGUUUGAAGUGAAAUCCUAUAGCUUAACUAUAGAACUGCUUUGAAAACUGUUAAUCUAGAAUGUGGGAGAGGUAGAUGGAAUUUCUGGUGUAGGGGUAAAAUCCGUAGAGAUCAGAAGGAAUACCGAUUGCGAAGGCGAUCUACUGGAACAUUAUUGACGCUGAGAUGCGAAAGCGUGGGGAGCAAACAGGAUUAGAUACCCUGGUAGUCCACGCCCUAAACGAUGUACACUAGUUGUUGUGAGACUUGAUCUUGCAGUAAUGCAGUUAACACAUUAAGUGUACCGCCUGGGGAGUACGGUCGCAAGAUUAAAACUCAAAGGAAUAGACGGGGACCCGCACAAGCGGUGGAGCAUGUGGUUUAAUUCGACGAUACACGAAGAACCUUACCUGGACUUGACAUAGUAAGAACUUUCUAGAGAUAGAUUGGUGUCUGCUUGCAGAAACUUAUAUACAGGUGCUGCACGGCUGUCGUCAGCUCGUGUCGUGAGAUGUUGGGUUAAGUCCCGCAACGAGCGCAACCCUCGUGUUUAGUUGCUAACAGUUCGGCUGAGAACUCUAAACAGACUGCCUACGCAAGUAGGAGGAAGGUGAGGACGACGUCAAGUCAUCAUGGCCCUUACGUCCAGGGCUACACACGUGCUACAAUGGGAUAUACAAAGAGCCGCAAUACGGUGACGUGGAGCAAAUCUUAUAAAAUAUCUCCCAGUUCGGAUUGUAGUCUGCAACUCGACUACAUGAAGUUGGAAUCGCUAGUAAUACGUAGAUCAGCUAUGCUACGGUGAAUACGUUCCCGGGUCU